AUAUACAAAAGUUGUCUCCCCUUUUAAUUUCCUUCCCAUUUUUGGUUAGAAAGGCACCGAAAAUAUUUUUUUAUUAAAAGUAGUAACCUUGAUUUUUCAUUUUAGUUGGACAUUGAAUGAUGAUAUAAUCGACGUAAUUUAGAGGCCGGGCCUUGUUCGUAAAGCCCAUAUCCAAAUUUCCCCGCCCUUGUUGGCCAGGGGAGGGGAGAGAAGAGUUCCAGAAAAGGGAAGUAAGGUUUUCGACUGACAUUGAAUGGUAAUGCUGGAUUUUGAGCUCCUCCGGAUGAUGAAGAAGAUGAAUCUUUCCUAGCCUCAAGCUUUGAGGUAUUACAUGCUGCGGCAGGACAGCCAAUCACCAAUCAAUAUCUACAACCUCAAGCUCCAGCCAUUGAUCUGUUGCAGUAGCAUCUUCGUCCCAGACAGAUUCUCACGCUGUACCAUCACAUAUCAUCAAGACAAGUGCUUGGCGUUUCUUUUAUUUGUUUUAACUAACUAAUUAGUUGAUGGUUAUUUAAUUUACCUAGUCUCCUACAGACAAGCAACAAGGAACACCCUUGCUAAGAGUAAGAGGCUAAGAGCCUAGAGGAGCAGGAAAGAUGCUUGAGAAACGAAUUCUAUUUUUUCUCCCAGAUCAACCUAUAAAAAGACUACUCCAGCUCAUCGCUAUGCCUCUCCUCAUCGCUGGGCUCCUGUUUGUCACAUUGUUCCUCCCCAUCACUCUGCUCCUCCUCAUCGGAAUAUUGCUCCUCCUCCUGCUGGCUAGAAUAGAUAUCCUGGAUUUGUAUUCGAGUGUAAUACACCAAUUAAGAGGGAGUAGUGCGCCACAAAUUGUAAUGUUGAAUUGCAUGAGAUGAGCAAAUUGUAAUC